rnacentral:ncRNA from 1 species
UAUGACAGAAAGACUUACGGUGUCACAUUCGUGACUGAAAAGGGAACCGGGUGAAAGACCCGGACUGCCCCCGCAACUGUAAGCGGCGAGCGCCGAGGAAAGACCACUGGCCCGUUAAUACGGGGCUGGGAAGGCCAAAAGCGCUGUGACCCGCAAGUCAGGAGACCUGCCGCAAGUGACCCAACCGC